AAAGGAUUGCCUCAGUAACGGCGAGUGAAGCGGCAAAAGCUCAAAUUUGAAAUCCCCCGGGAAUUGUAAUUUGAAGAGAUUUGGGUCCGGCCGGCAGGGGUUAAGUCCACUGGAAAGUGGCGCCACAGAGGGUGACAGCCCCGUGAACCCCCUCAACGCCCUCAUCCCAGAUCUCCAAGAGUCGAGUUGUUUGGGAAUGCAGCUCUAAGUGGGUGGUAAAUUCCAUCUAAAGCUAAAUACCGGCGAGAGACCGAUAGCGAACAAGUACAGUGAUGGAAAGAUGAAAAGCACUUUGAAAAGAGAGUGAAAAAGUACGUGAAAUUGUUGAAAGGGAAGGGCUUGCAAGCAGACACUUAACUGGGCCAGCAUCGGGGCGGCGGGGAGCAAAACCACCGGGGAAUGUACCUUUCGAGGAUUAUAACCCCGGUCCUUACUCCCUCACUGCCCCGAGGCCUGCAAUCUAAGGAUGCUGGCGUAAUGGUUGCAAGUCGCCCGUCUUGAACCACGGACCAAA
rnacentral:rRNA from 1 species